UAGAAACGCGACAACCUACAGCGGCUCGGAUCCCGAUGCCUGCUGCUUCUCUGCAGGGCGACGGUAUGAAGAUAGCAACAACAAUAAAGGUACAUCUGCACCCUUAAAAAUAACCUAGCUUCAUCUCUGAGAGCAACGAUGCGCGUUUGUGAAUGAAGGAGAGGAUGCAGUGAACGAAUAUGCUUCGAGACAAGCCUAGAUGUUAUAUUAGCAAGUCUAAGUCUAAUAGAUGUCCCCGAGAAAAAAACAGCUUCACAUCGUUCAGGCUCAAUUUUGAAUAGCCUAGCAUCGGCCAAGUUGAAUCUAAAGCCUCGGUGUUGUCAGAUUCUUUACAAAAUCGACCCGUUCAACUCAAAGAAAGUGGUGCAAACAUAACCAUCAAAGCAAUUUUGAUCCGAUCCAUGUGCCAAUUAGACGAGCCGAAUAGGAAGAGUUAGAGUAGUUGGAACUGGAGAUGAUGUUUGCACCUUGAGUUUGGUGAUGGAGGUGGGAGUGAGCUAGGUAAGGGCAUGUUCGGCUUAACCCCAAUCCAUCUGGAUUGAAGAGGAUUGAGUCGAUUUUAAUCCCUAGUAAGUCAAAAUCCCUUCCAAUCCAUACUAAUCCCCUCCAAUUCAUAUAGAACGGAAAUAACCGAACAAGCCAUAAAGAGGUGCACAAUGUUAGUUGAGGUUGCAAAUAUUAGGGUCAUCUUAGCCCAACCCUUCCUUGUUUUCUAUAACAUGUUUUUUCUGGACCACAAAUACCAUGAAAGUCUGAGAUGAUGCUUUUGUUAUUGGUCCAAUUGCCCAAAAAUGGCAACACAUUUCAUUCUAACUGUGAGCGGACCUUUUUAGAAUACUCUAUGUAUAAAUUGGCCAAUUGUAAACCAAUAAUAAUAGAUACAAAUUAUUGUACAAUUAAACAACAGUACAAUCAAACUACUAAAUAACAAAGAAUUUUAAUCUCAAGCAAAAUAACUUAUCAUGAGCUAUCAGACAUGUUGAUAUCAAGCGAUCGGGUGCAUCCAAUCAAAAUCCAACAAUGACUUUUAUGUGGAAGGGGUUAAAUGUAAAAUAGCUACUAACUUUUAAGUGGAAAGGAUUAAAUACAAAAUAGUUGUUAAGGUAGGCUAGUUAAAACCUUUGCCCUUUUAGCACAGAUUGCUGGAAUUACAUGGACAUUCAUUGGGAUCACUUUUUGGAUUUCUUCUCAAUGGUCGCAUCGACAAGGGAUCACUUAGAAAGUUCUUCAUGGAAAUCUUUCUGUUUGUUUCGGCUUAGGAAAUCUGGAAAUAAAGGAAUGCUACUAUCUUUAGAGAA